rnacentral:rRNA from 1 species
CAACUGGCGAAUAUGCUGGAAAAUGACGCAUGGAAGAGCGAAGCAACGCUGUUCUCCCUGCAGGAUCUUAUUGACGAAGUCGUGCCGGAAGUGCUGCCCGCCAUUAAGCGUAAAGGGCUGCAACUGCACGUAACUAUAACGGUCCUAAGGUAGCGAAAUUCCUUGUCGGGUAAGUUCCGACCUGCACGAAUGGCGUAAUGAUGGCCAGGCUGUCUCCACCCGAGACUCAGUGAAAUUGAACUCGCUGUGAAGAUG